rnacentral:tRNA from 1 species
GCCCUGGAUAGCUCAGUUGGUUAGAGCAUGGUGCUGAUAACACCCAGGUUGCAGGUUCGAUCCCUGUGUGGGACA